AAGCAAACCCCCAAAUCAUCUGGGAUGGUAUGAACUGAACUCUGGACCGCAACAUGAUGGAAAGGAGGAGCUGGGGUCCCAAGGGCAGUCCAGACAACCUGAACCUGUGACACUCACCCUGCCCACACACUCUCAGAGCUGCAGCUUUCACGGGGGUGACAUGAAUGCUUGUAAAUGAGCUUGCUGAAUGGGAGACCAAGAACGAUGAUAUUGAGCUGUUACUACAUGCCAGACAUUUAACCCUUUCAUCCAGGUUAUCUCAAUCAUUCCUUACAGAAAGGCUUUUGAGAUGUCCUUGCAACUGGAGGUGCCAUAUGAUACAGUUCUGCCCAAAGACAAGAAAGUGAAUGUCUGUUGAGGGCUUCCUAUAAGGCCAAUACAUACAGGUGUUCCCAACAACAGGUGUUUUGAACUAGAUUACUG
rnacentral:lncRNA from 1 species